rnacentral:rRNA from 1 species
CCGCGUUGGUGAAGUCUUCGGGUUGUAAAGCACUUUCAGCGAGGAGGAAAGGUAGGUAGUUAAUAACUGCUUGCUGUGACGUUACUCGCUGAAGAAGCACCGGCUAACUUCGUGCCAGCAGCCGCGGUAAUACGAGGGGUGCAAGCGUUAAUCGGAAUUACUGGGCGUAAAGCGUACGCAGGCGGUUUGUUAAGCAAGAUGUGAAAGCCCCGGGCUCAACCUGGGAAUUGCAUUUUGAACUGGCAAACUAGAGUCUUGUAGAGGGGGGUAGAAUUUCAGGUGUAGCGGUGAAAUGCGUAGAGAUCUGAAGGAAUACCGGUGGCGAAGGCGGCCCCCUGGACAAAGACUGACGCUCAGGUACGAAAGCGUGGGGAGCAAACAGGAUUAGAUACCCUGGUAGUCCACGCCGUAAACGAUGUCUACUCGGAAUUUGGUGUCUUGAACACUGGGUUCCCAAGCUAACGCAUUAAGUAGACCGCCUGGGGAGUACGGCCGCAAGGUUAAAACUCAAAUGAAUUGACGGGGGCCCGCACAAGCGGUGGAGCAUGUGGUUUAAUUCGAUGCAACGCGAAGAACCUUACCUACUCUUGACAUCCAUAGAACUCGCUAGAGAUAGCUUGGUGCCUUCGGGAACUAUGAGACAGGUGCUGCAUGGCUGUCGUCAGCUCGUGUUGUGAAAUGUUGGGUUAAGUCCCGCAACGAGCGCAACCCUUAUCCUUAUUUGCCAGCACGUAAUGGUGGGAACUUUAGGGAGACUGCCGGUGAUAAACCGGAGGAAGGUGGGGGACGACGUCAAGUCAUCAUGGCCCUUACGAGUAGGGCUACACACGUGCU